CCUACGGGGGGCAGCAGUGGGGGAUAUUGCACAAUGGGGGGAACCCUGAUGCAGCGACGCCGCGUGGGGGAAGGAGUGCUUCGGCAUGUAAAGCCCUAUCGGCAGGGAAGAAGCAAGACGGUACCUGACUAAGAAGCCCAGGCUAACUACGUGCCAGCAGCCGCGGUAAUACGUAGGGGGCGAACGUUAUCCGGAUUCACUGGGUGUAAAGGGGGCGUAGACGGGCAAGCAAGCCAGGUGUGAAAGCCCGGGGCCCAACCCCGGGACUGGCCUUGGAAAUGCAUGGCUUGAGUGCGGGAGGGGCAGGCGGAAUUCCUGGUGUAGCGGUGAAAUGCGUAGAUAUCAGGAGGAACACCGGCGGCGAAGGCGGCCUGCUGGACCGCGACUGACGGUGAGGCGCGAAAGCGUGGGGAGCGAACAGGAUUAGAUACCCUGGUAGUC
rnacentral:rRNA from 1 species